UACGUAGGGUCCGAGCGUUGUCCGGAAUUUAUUGGGCGUAAAGGGCUCGUAGGCGGUCCGUCACGUCGGGAGUGAAAACUCAGGGCUCAACCCUGAGCGUGCUUCCGAUACGGGCGGACUAGAGGUAUGCAGGGGGAGAACGGAAUUCCUGGCGUAGCGGUGGAAUGCGCAGAUAUCAGGAGGAACACCGAUGGCGAAGGCAGGUCACUGGGCCGCAACUGACGCUGAGGAGCGAAAGCAUGGGGAGCGAACAGG
rnacentral:rRNA from 1 species